rnacentral:rRNA from 1 species
UUAAGUCAGAUGUGAAAGACCCGGGGCGUUAACCUCGGAAUUGCAUUUGAAACUAGGCAGGCUAGAGUCUUGUAGAGGGGGGUAGGAAGUUUCAGGUGUAGCGGUGAAAUAGCGUAGAGAUCUGAAGGAAUACCAGUGGCGAAGGCGGCCCCCUCGGACAAAGACUGACGCUCAGAUGCGAAAGCGUGGGGAGCAAACAGGAUUAGAUACCCUGGUAG